rnacentral:rRNA from 1 species
GUAAGACUGGGAUAACUCCGGGAAACCGGAGCUAAUACCGGAUAGUUCCUUGAACCGCAAGGUUCAAGGAUGAAAGACGGUUUCGGCUGUCACUUACAGAUGGACCCGCGGCGCAAUAGCUAGUUGGUGGGGUAAUGGCUCACCAAGGCGACGAUGCGUAGCCAACCUGAGAGGGUGAUCGGCCACACUGGGACUGAGACACGGCCCAGACUCCUACGGGAGGCAGCAGUAGGGAAUCUUCCGCAAUGGACGAAAGUCUGACGGAGCAACGCCGCGUGAGUGAUGAAGGUUUUCGGAUCGUAAAGCUCUGUUGUUAGGGAAGAACAAGUGCGAGAGUAACUGCUCGCACCUUGACGGUACCUAACCAGAAAGCCACGGCUAACUACGUGCCAGCAGCCGCGGUAAUACGUAGGUGGCAAGCGUUGUCCGGAAUUAUUGGGCGUAAAGGGCUCGCAGGCGGUUUCUUAAGUCUGAUGUGAAAGCCCCCGGCUCAACCGGGGAGGGUCAUUGGAAACUGGGAAACUUGAGUGCAGAAUAGGAGAGUGGAAUUCCACGUGUAGCGGUGAAAUGCGUAGAGAUGUGGAGGAACACCAGUGGCGAAGGCGACUCUCUGGUCUGUAACUGACGCUGAGGAGCGAAAGCGUGGGGAGCGAACAGGAUUAGAUACCCUGGUAGUCCACGCCGUAAACGAUGAGUGCUA